CCCACCCCUCACCUGGUCCCGAUGUUUCUCUCUCUAAAUGAAUAAAUUUUAAAAAAUAUUUUAAAUACCUUACGCAGCGCAACGCUGAAGUGCACAGAGGGGUAUGGAUACUAACGCCGGCCCACCCAUCACCCCACUCGCCCCGACGUCACAGCUGCAGGGGUCCUCACAGCCACUCUUUGGCACAACUCCAGGGGACGCGUGUGGGGGCCGCGCCACCCCCUGCUCCUAGGACCCCUCCCACAAGUCACCCCCGGAGACAGAGACAGUGCGGGGCCUCAUCUCCACGGCCUGCUCCCCGGCAGCUCUGAGCUGCACGUAGCGCCAUUUUGCUCCUUUACGCCAGCCCAGCGGCAUGGCGCCACACACACUGGGCACCUGCUUCCUCUUUCCAUGUCGUGAGGACAAACGCCUCGUCUUCACUGUCCCUGCUGCGAACAGCUCCACUGCACGGCGGCAUUGCAAUCUCCUGUGCCUUCUGCCGAGGAAAGUCAGGCCAGGUUUAAUUUUUUCUUUGCUACUACAAAUAAAACUGCUCCAAGCAUCCUUGCUCGUGUCUCCCUGUGGAUAGAUAUGUUCUGGGCAGAGGCUCGGAGCUGCUGGGGUCCAGCGUGACUUUCCAGCGUGAUCACGGGAAUGUAGAUUCUCACCAGCGGGGGCUGAGACCGUCCAGGGCGCUGAGUCCUCACCACCAGCCAGUGUUCACCAGCCUCCUCAACUUUUACUGCCUGUGAGCUUCUUUAGAUUUACAGAGAAGUCGAGCAGCUGCUACAGCGCUCCGGCGCCAGAAGCGUCCUGCCUUCGCCGGCACACCUGCUGCAGUGAAUGAGCCGGCAGCGACGCACUGCGCACCUUACACCGAGGGCCGCUCUUGGUCCUGGGCACAGUCUGUGGGCUCGACGCAUGAUGCAAAGGCACCUCAUGUAUCCAACGCCCUCACAUUUCUCUGUGCUCACCCGCCCGUCGCUCUCCCUUCCCCACUCUGGGUCCCCCGUGGCCAAGCCCUGGAAUUCGCUAUCUCCGUGGCGCUGCCUCUUCCGGGAAGCAGGCAGCAUGUGGCCUUUCCAGACUGGCUUCUUUCACUCAGGGAUGCGCAUUUCAGAUUCCUCCGGGGAUUGUCCUGGCUUGGAGCUCACUUCUUCUUAGUGAACGACAUGGCGUGGUCUGCAGGGCCCACAGCGUCACUCAUUUCCGGGGCCUGGGAAUUAUGAAUAAAUGUGCAAUGAACA